GAUUGAAAACAAAACUGGAUUUGGAUGAACUUUAAGUUUUACAUAAAUCUGUUGUCAUUGUGCCUGUCUUCUAGGAAAGUAAUUCAACAAGAAACGAAAAUCUUGAUUCAAAGAAACCAAAGCACGUGACAGAAAAUGGAAAACAGAGAUGGAGACUUUAUGCAUUUACCUUCUUCAACCAUUCUUGUGAAUUCAACUCUGCCGGAUAUCUGCUCUAAGUGCCAAUCUCAGGUAAGGUGAAAAAAGACUCUCUAUGUAUGUCUCUACUUCAAACUCGAUUCCAACUGGGAUACCAUGAAUAACAAGAUCCGUGUAAGUUCCAUCUAUGAAAUUGUAGACGACUAAUUUUCCAUCAAUCUCUAAUAGGGCUCUAUGAUUCUCAAAAACGCCUAAUGGCUUCAUUCUAAAAUAUGGUAUGGUGAUCACAACUUUAGUCCAUGACUCCUUAAUGCCAUAGCUCUUCAUUAUCCAGAAGUCAUUAUGGGAGGUUAUAUCAGUAUCAGGCAGUAUGCAGAGACAUUCUCCAAAAACCCCUAUCCCAUAAAAAUUUUUAACGGAAGCAGGUGGUGACACAUCCCAGAACUUCUCCUCCACUAAAUCAAAGGCACCGAUUAUUUGUGAAUCCGUACUGUGACUUACCACCCAAUGUAUAGCUCCAUUUAGCUGAAUCCCUGGAUCAAGUGCAAGGAUGCGGUAAGGGAACAUUCCAACUUCUCUCCAGCUGUUGGCUUUCAAUGAGUAGACAAAGACAGAACCUUUGCAAGAGAUUUUCACCAGCUUGUAAUCAUUAAUGGACUGAGCAUAGCCAAAUCCAUACAUGUAAGGCAGCGAUGAUUGAGUGAAGGGGCGACGAUUGCCUAAUCUUGGUAUUUCCUCAGCUUCUCUGGUAGAAGGGUUUAUCAACAGUAAGAUUCCUGGUUCAGAAGCAACACAUAAUAAGCCAUUGCAAGAACCAAUGAACUUGACCUCAUCGUAGAAAUCACGUUUCAGUGGAUAAUCAAUCGUUACUGCUACUGCUCUAUCAUAUGCUUCAUAGCCUACAGAGUAAACAGAAGGAAGAGAGAAAGAUGUGAGACACAGUCUCCAUCUUUGGCAGUUUACACAAUUAUUUCUAGUUGCUAGAUUAAGGUGCAUUCUGAUAAAAUGCGGAUCAGAAAUAAGCAAACGCCAGGAUUUGCAUACACACUUUAAUCGGCAGAGAGACUUUACAGAUAGUCGUAAGAGUAUUUGGAUGAUGACAUCUUUAACAAGGUUAGCCAUCACCAUCGAUCUCAGUUCAAGCAAACAGACCUCAGGUUUAAGAUUUUAAGAGUUGAUGCAUUCAAGUUGGUGUAUCAACAUUUAUAGACGAGUUCCAAUGUUGGCAGGAUAUGCUUAAACCUUGUCAUCACAUUUAAAAUUGUAAAGGUCACUAUUACAUAAGCAAACACUGGAAUAAUCGAUGCUAGGUUUGUCUUUAGCAUUCUAGUCACAGUCCUUAUUAACUACGAAACCCAAUUGCAAUUUCAAGGAAUUCAUUAUGGUCUCCAUGUCGUACUCAUGGUCUUAUUUUCUCAGCAAACGAAACAGAACUAUCUAAAGAAAUUCUUUAUGUUACUAAAAUGCCUAAAGGCCAUGCUACCAAGUCAACUAAACUUUGACGGCUCUAUUUCAUUCGUCUCUCGAAAAGGGCCUCAAAUUUUUGUCAGUACCAGGCAUAGAGAAACAAGCUGGUAUAAUCGGAUGAUAUAAAUUGUCGUGCAUUGAUUAGUGGGGAAAGACCGUACAACCGCAGGAUCAAACGCGGUAGUAUCAAGGAUUGAUCUUCUAUACGGCCGUCCUCUACAACAGAUGCUACGGAUUAACUAAAUAAUUAAUCUGUCAAGAGUAAGGUCCUCUUUAGAGUAAAUGCUUCCAUUUUUCUUCUCUAAGUUCACCUCUGAAAAUGAUGUACAGGUACGAGUAUAGGUGAGAAGAAGUACUAUGCAUCAAACAAAGCUUUCCACGAUUACAACAAGGUAAAACUCAAUCUAGCGAUAGGCUGUCAAGUGUUCAACAGUAAUACAAGUUGAAACAAACACAAGAGGUUUGCCUGAAUUCCAUUCCCUCAGUUGCAAUUAGUUGAAAUGAGGCUGUCAAAAGAAGUAUAUGAUUUGAUCUUGUACUUCAAAAAAACCUUACUUUUACUCUCCAAAUACUGAUAUAAC
rnacentral:misc_RNA from 1 species